CUGUUUUUUGUAUUUCACAGUAUGAAGAUGAUGAAAAUGAUGAGGGAGAAGAAGAAGAUUAUGAUGAGGAAGCUGAUCCUGAUUUUAAUCCUGAGGCACAGGGCAAGCCAAAUGAAUGUAAACAGCAGUAGAUUUCUUGCUUGAAGUUUCACUGUUUGUGUUGUGAUAGCGAAUGACAGAACAACAUAAUGAAUACUUGCUUCAGUUGCUUUAACUUCAAGAUAACAAAAAUUCAUUAUUUUCACAAUGUUUUUUUUCUUUGAGGACAUUUUUCAUGAAAAUUUUGCCCCCAAAAAAUUGGAUUAAACACACAAAACUAAA
rnacentral:sRNA from 13 species